AUACGAAGGGGGCUAGCGUUGCUCGGAAUGACUGGGCGUAAAGGGCGUGUAGGCGGUUUGUACAGUCAGAUGUGAAAUCCCCGGGCUUAACCUGGGAGCUGCAUUUGAUACGUGCAGACUAGAGUGUGAGAGAGGGUUGUGGAAUUCCCAGUGUAGAGGUGAAAUUCGUAGAUAUUGGGAAGAACACCGGUGGCGAAGGCGGCAACCUGGCUCAUAACUGACGCUGAGGCGCGAAAGCGUGGGGAGCAAACAGGAUUAGAUACCCUGGUAGUCCACGCUGUAAACGAUGUGUGCUAGAUGUUGGGUAACUUAGUUAUUCAGUGUCGCAGUUAACGCGUUAAGCACACCGCCUGGGGAGUACGGCCGCAAGGUUGAA
rnacentral:rRNA from 1 species